AUUGAACGCUGGCGGCAUGCCUUACACAUGCAAGUCGAACGGCAGCACGGGGCAACCCUGGUGGCGAGUGGCGAACGGGUGAGUAAUACAUCGGAACGUGCCCAGUAGUGGGGGAUAGCCCGGCGAAAGCCGGAUUAAUACCGCAUACGACCUACGGGUGAAAGCAGGGGACCCGCAAGGGCCUUGUGCGAUUGGAGCGGCCGAUGUCCGAUUAGCUAGUUGGUGGGGUAAAGGCCUACCAAGGCUUCGAUCGGUAGCUGGUCUGAGAGGAUGAUCAGCCACACUGGGACUGAGACACGGCCCAGACUCCUACGGGAGGCAGCAGUGGGGAAUUUUGGACAAUGGGGGCAACCCUGAUCCAGCCAUGCCGCGUGAGUGAAGAAGGCCU
rnacentral:rRNA from 1 species